GCGAGCUUCCCCGUUCUUAACCAAUUACGUGCACCGAGGACCACUUCCACCGGUGAUUGGUGGACGCGUCGCGCAGGAUUCUCGCGAGCUGCAGAAGUGUGUCAAACUCUCGCGAGGGUGUACGUCUUGUCCCAGUCCUGACCGCUUGGUCUUCCUCCUCCAGGUGUUUCCUUGUCUACGGUGCUUUGCACACCUGUCCUCUGGCUCCAGACCGUGAAUCGAGAGCCUCGAGGAGAGGUGGGCGCAGCCAGGGUCAGUGACAAGCCGCCUCUCCUCAAAACCUGGGCCUGAGGCCAAGGUGAGGCGCGGCCCGAGCUCGGGCUUUACCUGGCGUUCACCUGCCUUCUCCGCGGGGUCCCGAGAGACUCUGCUGCCACUUGGCGGAAGGAACCUGUAAGGAACCUGUAGUGUAGAGCCACCCGAUUAGGCUGCACCAGGUACUACGCUCACUUCCGCUCUGAAAAGUUGCGGAGAGGAACAUUUGAAUGAAAUUUUAUGGGAUCUCACCAAGUUGCUGAGGCCACCCUGGUAAUUAUGAUCUUUCCUGAGCCUGCAGAGCUGCUGGGAAUAAAGGCAUGCACCACUGUG